rnacentral:lncRNA from 1 species
AGCAGAAGCACUCUUCCCAUGUGAUGGGCAGUGGGAGUCCCAGCUGUAAUCUCAGAAACCAGAACUCCUCACUCGGGAAGGGCAUCACAGGGGGCCCGCCUUAUUCACACCUGAAGGUCCAGUACAGAGGCUUCCACCCCGCCCCCGCCCCCCAGGAUAGACCUGGGGCUCUGAGCUGAAAAUUCCAGUCACCCCUGAUAAAUUCUCCAGCAGCUGUCCCCUACUAGUUGCUGAAACUUAACUUUAUGCCACAAAACUAGCAAAUGGGCAGCUUUCACCACACUUCCCCCCUUCAAUGCCUGGCACUCGCAAAGGAGUCUUGGCAAAUAAGGCAUUUAGGAAGUGGUUCUGACACCUGGCCCAGGUUACCUGGAAUCUAAAAACAAAAACCACCCUGUAUUAUUUUCCUCAAUCAGGAGGCAGGUAUUUCCCCUUUAAAAGACUUUCCUGAAAGCACCUCUCUCACAGGAUCCCAAUGAUUAAAUAACAUCAGAGCUUCCCUAAACCGAUUCUAAAGAACCACGGCCGGGCUGCGCACACCCACUGGUUUUUCCUCCUCAGAAGGAGGGAUAUGGGAAGUAACUCAAUCAGUCCUGGGCGGGUAAGGAUGGGGGAGUCUGCAGGUGGGAGAAGGGGUGAAGCAAUACCGCUCAAACUUUGCAGUUGCUCUUUAGCAGUUCUGGGCAGAAGCCCAGAGAAUUCUAUACUGGGAAGGGGCAGUCACCCUCCCUAACAGAAAGGCCCUCAAAUCAGCCUAACCCACCAGCUCUGCGCAUCCCAUUCACUCAGACAUGCCCUCUCCGGGCAGUCCCCUCUCCAGGGCCCCCUCACCUUGGCCUCGAAGCAGAUGCCGUGUUGGAAGGCGUCCUCGUUGUGCAAGGGGAUCCGCAGGUCGUGCCCAUCGUCCACAAGGUGCAAAAACGGAGGAUGUUGAGGAUCCAUCCAUACUGGCUCGGGCUUGGAGAGAGUGCUGGCUGCCUACCUCCCAACCCAAAGGAAACCUGCUCCUCUUGGGGAGAAUGGGCACAAGGGUUUCCCACAUUUCAGGGACCCUUACUCAGGGUAACCUUUCUCCCUUCAUCAUUUGCGGUCCAAUGAAAGGAAUGGGGCGCCCUUCCGACGUCACCCGCGGAGGGCGUGCGCAGCAGCUGAG